UCUUUUUUGUCAGACUCUAGUGUUGGUUAUAUAUUACUAUUGUUUGAUAUAGUUCAUAUCUACAUACCGUUUUCAGCAUUAAAAAGUAUUAAAUCACAGACUGAAAAUAUUUAUGUCGUUGGCUAAGUUGAAGAAGAUUAUUCAAAAACCAUUUCAUGCACCGACUACCCCGAAAAUCUAUACCCCAGCAAUAUUAGGAGACAGUAUUAUAGGUAGACUAAAACAACAAUCAACUCUACCUAUACAUCAAGAAAUAUACUGGUGGUGUCAGGGAGGUAGGACAGCAACUAAAGCCUUGGAUUGGGUCAAACAAAAUCUUGACACAGAAGUACAGCUGAUUCCAGAAAAAAUCUGGCUAUAUAUUCUUAUAGGAACCUGUGAUUUUACAUCCUUCAACAGAACAACAAAAUAUAUAUCACUGAAAUUUCAAAACAAUGCCGAACUAGUUGAACAUCUUAUUAACAGGUACAAAGAAAUUAUCAAAACACUCAAGGAUCUCUCACCAGACAGCCAAAUUACAAUAUUAGAAAUACCCUUUUUUUCAAUACAAGCCUGGAAUAAAUCACACAGAGGCAUAAAGACCCGGAAGUAUUUUACGAUCAAGACAUCCAAUUAGAGCAACAAAUAAUCGAAAUUAACAAAGCCAUAAGAACCUUGAACCAUCAAAACUUUUCUCCAAAUUUCAACAUAGACUUGUAUAGGACAUCAACCAGGCAACAAAGAACAUAUCAAGCAGGUACUUCACACAGCUGUAGGCAAGGAAAUACCAAGAGUAGGAGAUUGUAUAAUUUAAGCCUCUUGGACGACGGAAUUCACCCAAACAUCCACCUAUCCAAAGCUUGGUUGAGGAAACUUACAAACCAAAUCUCGAGAGACUGUUGGACAAAAAACAAAGCACCAGAAGAAACUGAUGUAAAUAACAACAUCUAGGGAGUAAAACAUCAGAUAAACAUUUAGAGAGUAUAAUAACAAAAAGAUAUCUAUAAUAAAUAGGCU
rnacentral:lncRNA from 1 species